rnacentral:tRNA from 1 species
GCUGGUUUGCCCGAGAGGUUAAAGGAGAAGACUUGAGAUCUUCUACAUAAUAAGUACGCGUGUGUUCAAACCCCACAGCCAGCA